rnacentral:rRNA from 1 species
UACGUAGGCAGCGAGCGUUUGUUCGGAGUUACUGGGCGUAAAGGGUUCGUAGGUGGCUUGUUAAGUCAGACGUGAAAUCCCUCGGCUCAACCGGGGAACUGCGUCUGAGACUGAUGAGCUCGAGUGCAGGAGAGGAACGCGGAAUUCCAGGUGUAGCGGUGAAAUGCGUAGAUAUCAGGAGGAACACCGGUGGCGAAGGCGGGUCUCUGGGCCGUAACUGACGCUGAGGAGCGAAAGCAUGGGGAGCGAACAGG